UUUAUUAUAUUUUUUAUUCCAAUUUUUAUCCUAACCGUCCGAUCCCAUAGACGGUCAUAAUAACCUCCACGCUUCCUCCCAGCUUACCUUUGAUUUAAUCAACUCCUCAUGGCUCUUAUACCUCCACGAUUGCAUUCUCAUCACCGUCAGAUACGUUUCCCAUCCGACGGUGGAUGCAACAUUUAACACUGAUUUGCUGCAAACUGUAGCAUUAAUAUCCCGCUCUUUCAGACCGCCAAAGGGGUCUUUCUCGCAUUUUCCCUUUUUCGAUAUCGAAGAAGAAAUGCAAGAUCAAGCAACCAGUUCUAUUGCAGCUAGUUCUCUGCCGUCCAGCAGUGAGAGAUCUUCAAGUUCUGCUCUUCAGCUCGAACUCAAAGAAGGCAUGGAAAGUGAUGAAGAGAUCCGAAGAGUCCCCGAGAUCGGCGGGGAACCUGUUGGAACGUCAGCGUCCGGCCGUGAUAGCGGUUCAGUGGCAGGUGCAGGAGUUCAGCCAUCAGGAGAAAGUCAGAGGAAGAGAGGUAGAAGUCCAGCUGACAAAGAGAACAAGCGACUAAAGAGGUUGUUGAGAAACAGAGUUUCAGCUCAGCAAGCAAGAGAAAGGAAAAAGGCUUACUUGAAUGAGUUGGAAACCAGAGUUAAAGACUUGGAGAAGAAAAACUCUGAGCUUGAAGAGAAACUGUCCACGUUGCAGAACGAGAAUCAGAUGCUCAGACACUUCCAAUCAACUACCCAAAUGUCACAGAAAGGAAUUUGAAAUUUAGAAUGAAAGUAUUCCAUUCUUUGUAUUAGGUUUGUAUCAGAAACACGGAGGAGAUAUUGAAGAACACGACGGCAAGCAGGAGAGGCGGAAGUGAUACAAAUGCCGAUGGGUCCUUAUGAGUGAUUCGUGAAUAAGACAUAUUAUGAGGUUAAAAAAAAAGAAGAUUUUGAUGUUUGAUUUUACCUUUUACGUGGAAAUAGAAAAUUUCUAAUCAAUGUUGCUUCUCCAAACUCUUCAACCCACUGGGGUAGCACAAAUUUUCAGAUUGUCAAUGUGAAGGAAUGACAAAUUAAGGAAUAAUAAGUAGUCGCAUGCGUUUGCCGGAA